AGCGAACGCUGGCGGCAGGCCUAACACAUGCAAGUCGAACGAACUCUUCGGAGUUAGUGGCGGACGGGUGAGUAACACGUGGGAACGUGCCUUUAGGUUCGGAAUAACUCAGGGAAACUUGUGCUAAUACCGAAUGUGCCCUUCGGGGGAAAGAUUUAUCGCCUUUAGAGCGGCCCGCGUCUGAUUAGCUUGUUGGUGGGGUAGUGGCCCACCAAGGCGACGAUCAGUCGCUGGUCUGAGAGGAUGACCAGCCACAUUGGGACUAAGACACGGCCCAAACUCCUACGGGAGGCAGCAGUGGGGAAUCUUGCGCAAUGGGCGAAAGCCUGACGCAGCCAUGCCGCGUGGAUGAUGAAGGUCUUAGGAUUGUAAAAUCCUUUCACCGGUGAAGAUAAUGACUGUAGCCGGAGAAGAAGCCCCGGCUAACUUCGUGCCAGCAGCCGCCGUAAGAC
rnacentral:rRNA from 1 species